CCUACGGGAGGCAGUAGUGAGGAAUAUUGGUCAAUGGGCGCGAGUCUGAACCAGCCAAGUAGCGUGAAGGAUGACUGCCCUCCGGGUUGUAAACUUCUUUUAUUAAGGAAUAAAGUGAGGCGCGUGUGCCUUUUUGUAUGUACUUUAUGAAUAAGGGUAGGCUAACUCCGUGCCAGCAGCCGCGGUAAUACGGAGGAUCCGAGCGUUAUCCGGAUUUAUUGGGUUUAAAGGGAGCGUAGAUGGGUUUUUAAGUCAGUUGUGAAAGUUUGCGGCUCAACCGUGGAAUUGCAAUUGAAACUGGCGGCCUUGAGUGCAGAUAGGGAAGCCGGAAUUCGUGGUGUAGCGGUGAAAUGCUUAGAUAUCACGAAGAACUCCGAUUGCGAAGGCAACUGACCAAGCUGCCACUGACAUUGAUGCUCGAAAGUGUGGGUAUCAAACAGGAUUAGAUACCCGAGUAGUC
rnacentral:rRNA from 1 species